rnacentral:rRNA from 1 species
AGAGUUUGAUCAUGGCUCAGAUUGAACGCUGGCGGAAUGCUUUACACAUGCAAGUCGAACGGCAGCACGGACUUCGGUCUGGUGGCGAGUGGCGAACGGGUGAGUAAUACAUCGGAACGUGCCCAGUCGUGGGGGAUAACGUAGCGAAAGCUACGCUAAUACCGCAUACGAUCUACGGAUGAAAGCGGGGGAUCGCAAGACCUCGCGCGAUUGGAGCGGCCGAUGGCAGAUUAGGUAGUUGGUGGGGUAAAGGCUCACCAAGCCGACGAUCUGUAGCUGGUCUGAGAGGACGACCAGCCACACUGGGACUGAGACACGGCCCAGACUCCUACGGGAGGCAGCAGUGGGGAAUUUUGGACAAUGGGCGCAAGCCUGAUCCAGCCAUUCCGCGUGCAGGAUGAAGGCCCUCGGGUUGUAAACUGCUUUUGUACGGAACGAAAAGGCUCUGGUUAAUACCCGGGGCUCAUGACGGUACCGUAAGAAUAAGCACCGGCUAACUACGUGCCAGCAGCCGCGGUAAUACGUAGGGUGCAAGCGUUAAUCGGAAUUACUGGGCGUAAAGCGUGCGCAGGCGGUGAUGUAAGACAGUGGUGAAAUCCCCGGGCUCAACCUGGGAACUGCCAUUGUGACUGCAAGGCUAGAGUGCGGCAGAGGGGGAUGGAAUUCCGCGUGUAGCAGUGAAAUGCGUAGAUAUGCGGAG